AUUGAACGCUGGCGGCAGGCCUAACACAUGCAAGUCGAGCGAGCGGCGGACGGGUGAGUAAUGUCUGGGAAACUGCCUGAUGGAGGGGGAUAACUACUGGAAACGGUAGCUAAUAACGCAUACCAUCAGAUGUGCCCAGAUGGGAGUAGCUAGUAGGUGGGGUAAUGGUUCACCUGGGCGACGAUCCCUAGCUGGUCUGGGAGGAUGACCAGCCACACUGGAACGGAGACACGGUCCAGACUCCUACGGGAGGCAGCGUUGGGGAAUAUUGCACAAUGGGCGCAAGCCUGAUGCAGCCAGGCCGCGUGUGUGAAGAAGUCCUUCGGGUUGUAAAGCACUUUCAGCGAGGAGGCGUUACUCGCAGAAGAAGCACCGGCUAACUCCGUGCCAGUAGCCGCGGUAAUAC
rnacentral:rRNA from 1 species